rnacentral:lncRNA from 1 species
AUGGAAUAACCAGAUCUCUGCGGCCACCCCUGAAAAACAGAUUCUUUCUUCUGGAUUCCCUGGGAUUCUCUCAGCAGCCAGCCUUGUUUACAGAAGUCAGCGCGGACAGUAACAGCCCUUCACCAAUGAGCCACAGUGGAACCUUUGGGGAAGGCUCCUCACGGUGCUCUGUCAUCUGCUGACAAAGUGGUGCCAGGACCAGAACUUCACAAUGAACUCUGCAGAGAAAAAUCCACAGCAGAUGAAGGAAUCUCGAAGGCGCGGAUUACAAAUUAGUCUUUUUAAGUCAACUGACCUCAGUGCCCUUCAGUCAGUGACAGGUAGACUCAGGCUUAAAGUGAGAGGAUCCCCCACGUCACUGGUUUCAACUAGAGGAUACGUCUGUGCUAUGAGAAUACUCAGUAUGAGAAACGUGCUGCGAAACAGAGGCAGCCAGUUGGAGCAGUGCUUCAGACUAAGCUGAGGUAAGAACCAUGGAUGCUUAGUUCCAG